rnacentral:lncRNA from 1 species
AAGAGUAUCACUUCCCAUUUGGACUGUAAAAGAGGGCUCCAUGAGCAUGGAAAUAGUCUUUACUUCAGAGAAGCUGAGUUGUUGUAUUUCCCUGAGGCAGCAAAUUCAUUUGCAAACACAAAGGCUCAGGGAAAUUUGCGCCCUAUUACACAGUCUCCAAAUAUUCCAGACUUGCUAAGACUCCAGUCGAAAAGGGUCAAGGCAGUUCAUCAGAUUCCCUUCCUAAUUCUCAACUUCCAAAGCAAGUUCUUCCCAGAGCACAGACAAAGGAAGACUAUCUGGCUGCCUAGUCUACAGCCCUGAGGACAAAAGCAUCAUCAGUGACAAGGAGACGUCCUGCUGGGGAGUAAGAUUUUACCGAGACCCAGUUGAGGAGACAUAUGUGGGGAACUUGGAUCGUCUGAGACAAGCUGUCAAUGCCAGGCAAGCAGCGAUAUGCGAGCUUGUGACCUUCAGUACAGUCGCUCAGUCGUGUCUGACUCCUUGUGACCCCAUGGACUGCAGCACGCCAGGCUUCCCUGUCCAUCACCAACUCCCGGAGUUUGCUCAGACUCAUGACCAUCGAGUUGGUGAUGCCAUCCACAGUGAUGUGACCUUACUGUCCUCUUUAUAUCUCUUAAGAGUAGUACAGUAUAAAUGAAAAUAACAAAAAAAGAUAUUUUGUCAGAGUUCACUG